AUGAGGAAGAUGAGCCACAGCUGUGAUCAUCCACAACACACCCAUGGAGAAACUGAGGUUCAAUAGAGAGGACCCAAAGCAGACAUAGCAAUUGUCUCCAAAUAUAGGAAGUGCAGUAUGUGGAAGGGGGAUCACACUUAUUUUGUUUGACCCAAAUGGGAAGGACAAGGAGUAAUGGGUGGGCAUUGUUAAGAGGCCAGUUGAGCCUUUGUGUCAAGAGUGUCUUCUCAAAAACCUGAGCUGUCCCCGGGUAGAAGAGGCUGCCUCCAGAGAUGGAGAAGUGGGGGUGGUGUGCUUUCUCCUUGGUGCUUUUCAAGCAGAAAUUGGAUAAGGACCUGUCAGGCAUCUUCCAGUAGCUGGGUAGUUUAGAAGACAGAACGCUGGACUUUGAGUAGAGAAAGCCAGAUACUGACUAACUUCGGGAUGCUUGCUACAACACUGCAGUGCUUUCCGGGGAGGCUGUACGAAAUAACUAAUGUCAUUGCUCACACAAGAAGAGACCGUUUUUUCCGUACUGCUAACUCCUCUCCCUUCCUGAACCAAGCCCCAGGCCUUUCUGCAGCUUCUGCGUUUUCUUGUAAGGACAAUUCCUCUCUCGGAGAAGAGAGUGAUUAUGAUCUCAUCUCUCAUAAAUCUUCUCUGGCUUUAAAGCAACAGUGGAAGCCUUCUGCCGAUAAGAAGCAUUGAGAGGGGAUUAAUGGAAAGAAUUUUUUCCCAGAUGUUUGGGUCAAGUGUGGAUUGAUCUCUUCUGAUUCCAAAGUUAUGUUAUUCUGUGAUCACCUUUUGCUGGAACAACUCAACCAUCCUUGGCUGUUCUGAAUACACAGACACACGAAUUUACCUCAAUGGACUCUACAGCAAUGAGAUGUACUGAAAAGAGCACAAAAUUUGGAGACAGGGAAGCCGGGUUCCAAUUCUGCCUCUGGUAUUGAUUACCUAUGUGACAUGUAACCUCCCAGUGCCUCAGUUUUCUCAUCUAUAAAAUUGAGGGCUGGACUAGAUGGCCUCAGAGGUCACUUCUAGGUCUAGGUCUUUGGUCCUAUGAUUCUAGAAUCCUAGGUCAUAUGUUUCCCAGGAUACAUUAAGAGUACAACCUUGGCACUACAACUUUGCAAUGUGGAACAGUCACUUUAAGAGUUGCUCAAUCCUAACCAGCAACAGUGGAAUCUGACCUUGGCUAUCCAUGGGAGUGUACCCAAGUGUAUUUGAGGGGUGGGGGAGUGGAACCUACCCAACCACACAAUGCCUUGUUCCAAUAUCUACCCACAAUGAUAUGAUGACUCCAUUUAACUCCCUAACUCUCCACUUCUAGAAGAAAAAAGAGUUGUUCUUUAUUUUCCCCUCUCCUUCCAUCCCUGUAAGAGAAAAUAAAGUAUC